rnacentral:tRNA from 1 species
GCAACGGAGCGGAGUGGUUAAGGCUAUGGACUGCCAAUCCGGAGACGGGUUCGAUUCCCGUUCUUUGCC